rnacentral:misc_RNA from 1 species
UCAAUUUGAUGAGAGGAUAAAAGAGCUGAUCACAUAAAAUGAGUACACUUAUACCGACCGUACUCCUACCUUUGUGAGGUUGUUUCCGGUAGACCCUCGACAUACCUGGAUCAAGGUAAAUACUACUACUUUAUUAUGAUGGCAAUCCCCAUCCUCGUUCGGCUAGUGCUGUAAUCACAUGCGCAGCAGCCUCCUUAGUAUCAUUCAGGGGACUAUAGCUCCAACUUUCAGAUAUAUCUUCUUUUCCAAGGAAUGGCCGAACCACUCCUCGAUUUUUCAAGGAUUGAUGGAAGUCUCUGAAUUUCCACGUACAUCGCUCAGCACCAAUUACAUAAACAGGUUUUCUGAACCUUAAACUCUUUAGAUGAAAUGCUGAUGAAAAGGAUAACAGAAAAGGGACAUUGAAUUGACAAGAGUCAGCAUACAGGCCAACUUACCCCGUGCUGCAAGCCUCGCUUAACAUACUAACUGAGUCAGCAGUGAUAACAAAAGCAUCUGCAAAAGUCAAAUGUCCCAUAUGUGGAUUUGGACCUUGACCGUUCCAAAUGUGAACUUUAGGAUGAUUUCCAAGCUCUUUCCAUAUGAUGUCUGAGACCUGUUAACUUAUUAGGAGUUCGACGAGAAAAAGAUACUCUGAUGCUCCCACAGGUUGGAACAAUAUUCAGAAGCAAGGCUGCUAGCUCCACUGCUAGGUCUGUACCAUAUCUACAAUGACCUGUAGGCCCUCCAACAUUAACCACAAGCAAAGGUUUUGGUAUAGUUGCUAACUCAUCGUGCCAAAUGUCAGCUGCAUCCUUCAGCGCAUUAGAAUCAGCUUGAUGAAGGGCUCCAACAGUCAGUAUCUGCCUCAAAAUUCUAAGUGAAGAUGUCUACAAAAUGUGGAGGUGGUAAAGAACUCCAAGGUUUUCAAGAAAUUUGCAUACCACGUGUCUCUCAGGAGAUGUGCGAGGGGUUAUCCACCUUCGAAGAAACCAAGGAAUUUGUUUUUGUCCCUCAGGUGUCAAAGGAUAAUAAUCAUGAUGAGGUGUGAUCACUAGGUCAAACCUAUUUAGACGUGAUCUAGGAUGUUGAAUCUGAAAACAUAACACAACAGAAUCUUACCAUUUUAACCAGUACUAUAUAUUUUUCUACAAUAAUAACUGUUUCUUUUCUCUUUUUUUGAUGAUUGUGGUGUCGGGGCCAGCUUUCGCGCACCUUGACUAAUUUCACGGGAUACCUGCCACCUCCCAACAGCAACAGGUGUGAGGUAACUCUGUCCACCAAGAAUAGGACAGAUGGGAACAAUGGUAACUGUUUCUGUACCCAUUUUAAAUAAAGCAGUACAUAGUUUGCACUGAAACCAUAUUUACAAGAGUGUUCUACGAUCCACUGUCCUGUGACUACAGAGAAUCUAAAGCGUCAAUGAUGAAACAG